GAUGAACGCUGGCGGCGUGCUUAACACAUGCAAGUCGAACGAUGAAGCCCAGCUUGCUGGGUGGAUUAGUGGCGAACGGGUGAGUAACACGUGAGUAACCUGCCCUUGACUCUGGGAUAAGCCUGGGAAACUGGGUCUAAUACUGGAUAUGACUUCUCAUCGCAUGGUGGGGGGUGGAAAGAUUUAUUGGUCUUGGAUGGACUCGCGGCCUAUCAGCUUGUUGGUGAGGUAAUGGCUCACCAAGGCGGCGACGGGUAGCCGGCCUGAGAGGGUGACCGGCCACACUGGGACUGAGACACGGCCCAGACUCCUACGGGAGGCAGCAGUGGGGAAUAUUGCACAAUGGGCGCAAGCCUGAUGCAGCGACGCCGCGUGAGGGAUGACGGCCUUCGGGUUGUAAACCUCUUUCAGUAGGGAAGAAGCGAGAGUGACGGUACCUGCAGAAGAAGCGCCGGCUAACUACGUG
rnacentral:rRNA from 1 species